rnacentral:rRNA from 1 species
GACGAACGCUGGCGGCGUGCCUAAUACAUGCAAGUCGAACGCUUCUUUCCUCCCGAGUGCUUGCACUCAAUUGGAAAGAGGAGUGGCGGACGGGUGAGUAACACGUGGGUAACCUACCCAUCAGAGGGGGAUAACACUUGGAAACAGGUGCUAAUACCGCAUAACAGUUUAUGCCGCAUGGCAUAAGAGUGAAAGGCGCUUUCGGGUGUCGUUGAUGGAUGGACCCGCGGUGCAUUAGCUAGUUGGUGAGGUAACGGCUCACCAAGGCCACGAUGCAUAGCCGACCUGAGAGGGUGAUCGGCCACACUGGGACUGAGACACGGCCCAGACUCCUACGGGAGGCAGCAGUAGGGAAUCUUCGGCAAUGGACGAAAGUCUAACCGAGCAACGCCGCGUGAGUGAAGAAGGUUUUCGGAUCGUAAAACUCUGUUGUUAGAGAAGAACAAGGACGUUAGUAACUGAACGUCCCCUGACGGUAUCUAACCAGAAAGCCACGGCUAACUACGUG